rnacentral:snRNA from 1 species
GGAUGUGAAGGCAAGCUGGCUGAGACAUCUGUCACCCCAUUAAUUGUCAUCUUUGAUUCAGUUGAUCUAGCUGGUUAGGUGGGUAUCUCCUUCCUCCCUUACCUCUUCAUGUGCAUUCCUAAAAGGAUGACUGUGCCUGCUAGGGGAGGACCAUUUUCAGUCAAAGGUAUAUGAGUAGCUGCACUCCCCUGCUAGAACAUCAAAACAAACUAAAUUAGAGAUGGAACCUUCCUUUCUUGCUUAGUCUAGACAAAAAUUGAAAAGAAAAUGACAGUACAAGAAAUUCAAAUGGCUCAUUUUUUUUUUUUUG